rnacentral:rRNA from 1 species
GACGGGGGGGGCAAGUGUUCUUCGGAAUGACUGGGCGUAAAGGGCACGUAGGCGGUGAAUCGGGUUGAAAGUGAAAGUCGCCAAAAAGUGGCGGAAUGCUCUCGAAACCAAUUCACUUGAGUGAGACAGAGGAGAGUGGAAUUUCGUGUGUAGGGGUGAAAUGCGUAGAGAUGUGGAGGAACACCAGUGGCGAAGGCGGCUUUCUGGUCUGUAACUGACGCUGAGGCGCGAAAGCGUGGGGAGCAAACAGG